rnacentral:rRNA from 1 species
UACGUAGGAGGCAAGCGUUGUCCGGAGUUACUGGGCGUAAAGCGCACGCAGGCGGUCUUGUCAGUCUGUAGGGACAGGGCACGGCUCAACCGUGUCAGGCUUAUGGAAACUGCAAGACUUGAGGGCUUCAGAGGGAUGGGGAAUUCCGGGUGGAGUGGUGAAAUGCGUAGAGAUCCGGAAGAACACCAAAGGCGAAGGCACCAUCCUGGGGAGUCACUGACGCUCGGGUGCGAAAGCUAGGGGAGCGAAUGGG